GAGAGCCUAGGGAGAGAAGGGCCAAGAGGGAGUCUGGUCUUCCUCGCACAGCUUAAGAGGGAGAUUGAAAGUGGGUGCAGAAUAAGACUUGUGCCAAUGGGGUUACAGAUACAUGAGACUGCAGGGCAGGACCACAGGCUUGGGAUAAACCGUACAUUUUCGGAGGUGGGGAGACAGAGCAUGCCAUUUAACUAAAAUGCAACACCACAUUCAACCACUGCAGUUUCUAACUGGAGUCAGUAGUUAUGAAAUUUUCAGGCUCGAGCUCAAGUUAAUUAUCUACUUUAUGAAGAAAUCUGAUAAAGAACUUAGAACUCUGAUUCCACUUAGCAGGAAACAAAGAAACACUUUGCACUGCCAACCAUCCCUCCAUUGGGUGGUUUUCUGUUCACAUCCUAUGAUGACUUUAUUUUAACCCCUCCUGGUCUCAUCAGCUUCACACAAUUUGCCUGUGUUAGAGAUAUUUGAGCAGAACAUUUGCCUUACUCUGCUUUAGGCAUCCUGGCUUACAUUUACAGCAAUAAAUUAUAGCCCAUAUAUAAUUUACUGUAUAACACACCAGUGUUGUCUAACUAGAUUGACCUGUGUAAAUUAGAUCUAUAAAGUCUCUUUCUGGCUGUUAUAAAACAUUUUAAAGCUAUUAUCAUAACAGUCUUGAUUUUUCAGAAAAUGCUCAAACCCAGAAACUUUUCUACAACCCCCACUGGAACUGCCAAACCAGAAGGAACAACAUUGACUUUCAGUGCAGGUUGGAUGCAGUGUGGAGCAGGCACCUGAAAAUCAUGGAGAAAGCCCAGGUGCCCUUGCAGCUUCUCAGCAGCUGAGCUGUCUCUUGUGCUGGUUUCUCCUUGAAAGCUUUUGCCAUGAAACUUCUGUCAGCUUGGAGUCAUCCACGAGCCAAGGAGGAGGAAUCCAGGCUCACAUAUUGCAGUUCUGUCACGUCUGGGUGUUCUUUCACUCGUCAGUACCUCCCUGACUCUUCACAGAUAUUCCCUGGCUUCUCCCCAGGAUGAUCUCAUGGACCUACCAUGGAGCUAAAAGCUGACGAUAUUUCACAGAUCAUGUUUGGUGCCACUGCCCUCAGGCAGGAAACAUGGACAGAGGAAUUAACUUUUGUUGUGGGUUUGAUUUACAAGAAGUUUUAGUGAGGCUGAGACAUGAGUGGGGGCAAGGCAAAGGAGUAUGAGAAGCAAGACAAGACCAGGAUAAAGAACUAUGGGAUAUUUACAGUCCCCCUCUCAACUUUGCUGCAAGAGUUCUUUAUGAGAGACUAUGCCUCAAAUUACAACUAUCUUUAUAUUUUCCUUUCCUUCCUGUGCUGCCCACAUGUGCUCACUGUGUACCCAGCACUACGCAAGUUCUGACAAAGCCUUACAGGGACACAGCCAUAGAAGGAAACAGAACAGAAGGUCAUAAAUUGAAAAAUAACAUAAAACUAAAUGAAACCAAUUCAGAAAUACAACAAGUAAAAGGAA